GCUGGUGUAGCUCAGUUGGUAGAGCAGCUGAUUCGUAAUCAGCAGGUCGCCGGUUCAAAUCCAGUCACCAGCU
rnacentral:tRNA from 1 species